UGGGGAAUAUUGCACAAUGGGGGAAACCCUGAUGCAGCGACGCCGCGUGGAGGAAGAAGGUCUUCGGAUUGUAAACUCCUGUUGUUGAGGAAGAUAAUGACGGUACUCAACAAGGAAGUGACGGCUAACUACGUGCCAGCAGCCGCGGUAAAACGUAGGUCACAAGCGUUGUCCGGAAUUACUGGGUGUAAAGGGAGCGCAGGCGGGAAGACAAGUUGGAAGUGAAAUUCAUGGGCUCAACCCAUGAACUGCUUUCAAAACUGUUUUUCUUGAGUAGUGCAGAGGUAGGCGGAAUUCCCGGUGCAGCGGUGGAAUGCGUAGAUAUCGGGAGGAACACCAGUGGCGAAGGCGGCCUACUGGGCACCAACUGACGCUGAGGCUCGAAAGUGUGGGUAGCAAACAGGAUUAGAUACCCUGGUAGU
rnacentral:rRNA from 1 species